GAAUCGAUUGAAGAAGGAGAGAGGGAAGGAAAGGGUCCUCCGCGUCUCGGCCAACAAUAUCCAUAAAUUUCCAACCCGUCCCCCUCCGGUAGAACAAACGGCCGGCCGACGAUCCGAAAUCGAGAAGAAACAGAUCCCAGGAAGGG